GAACGCACAUUGCGCCCCUUGGUAUUCCGGGGGGCAUGCCUGUUCGAGCGUCAUUAUAACCCUCAAGCCUAGCUUGGUGUUGGAGCAUGCCUCUAGGCCGCUCUUAAAAUCAGUGGCGGUGCCAUCUGGCUCUAAGCGUAGUAAAUUUCUCGCUAUAGUGUCCGGUGGUUACUUGCCAAAACCCCCAAUUUUCUAUGGUUGACCUCGGAUCAGGUAGGGAUACCCGCUGAACUUAAG
rnacentral:misc_RNA from 1 species